AAUAAAUUUUUUAUAUUUUUUAUAUUUUAUUAUAAAUUUAUUUUACAUGUAAAUUUUAGUAUAAAAUUUUAAUUAUUUUAAUAAUAAUUAAUUUAAAUAUACAGUAAUUAAAAUUAAAAAUUUAAGAAAUUAAGAUUUAGUAAUAUUUAAAUUAAUAACUAAUUUUGUGCCAGCAGUUGCGGUUAAACAAAAAUUAAAUUAAAUUAUUUCAGUAUAUAAUAAAUAAUAAAUAAUUAAAUUAAAUAUUAAAUUAUUAAGUGAAAUUUUAAUUUAAUUAAAAAUUAUAAUAAAAUUAUGAUUUAAUAAAUUUUAUUUUAAACUAGGAUUAGAUACCCUAUUAUUAAAAAUUUAAUUAAAAAUACUAAAAUAGUAAAUAAAAUAUUAUUGAAACUUAAAUAAUAUGGCGGUAUUUUAGUUCAUUUAGAGGAAUCUGUCUAAUAAUUGAUAAUCCACGAAUAAAUUUACUUAAUUUAUAAUUUUGUAUAUCAUUGUUAAAAAAAUAUUUUUUAAUAAAAAUAAUAUUUUAAAAUUUAAAAUAAAAUUUAAUUCAGAUCAAGAUGCAGAUUAUAAUUAAGUUUAAGAUGGAUUACAAUAAAUAUAUUUAAGUGGAAAGAAUUUUGUAAAAUUUAAUUGAAAAUGGAUUUAAAUGUAAUUUUAAUUAGUUUAUUAAAAUGAUUAAAAAUUGAAAUAUGUACAUAUUGCCCGUCACUUUCAUUUAAAAAUUGAAAUAAGUCGUAACAAAGUAGAGGUACUGGAAAGUGUUUCUAGAAUGAU
rnacentral:ncRNA from 1 species